CCGAGACCUACGAGAAAUUGACAUUGAAAAUUCGGUUUCGUCAUCAGCGAAUCCUUAUAUUUUACCGAUACAACUAAGAUCUUCACGUGGAACACUUUAAUCGUUUCCAAUUAAAUUUGUUAUGGUAAUGCAUGUGAAUAUUUUCAGAAUUAAUCAAAUAACUUGUGUUACAUGUGAUUAAAGUAGUUGAUUAAAUUGUACAUGCAAAAGACGAUUAAAGAUGCAAAAUAUUUUAUAAACACAUGUACAAUGAAAUCUGUUGACAAAUAAACUAAUACUUAAUAAUAUAAA